rnacentral:rRNA from 1 species
ACCAGACUCCUACGGGAGGCAGCAGUGGGGAAUAUUGCACAAUGGGGGAAACCCUGAUGCAGCGACGCCGCGUGAGCGAUGAAGUAUUUCGGUAUGUAAAGCUCUAUCAGCAGGGAAGAAAAUGACGGUACCUGACUAAGAAGCCCCGGCUAACUACGUGCCAGCAGCCGCGGUAAUACGUAGGGGGCAAGCGUUAUCCGGAUUUACUGGGUGUAAAGGGAGCGUAGACGGCAAUGCAAGCCAGAUGUGAAAGCCCGGGGCUCAACCCCGGGACUGCAUUUGGAACUGUGUAGCUGGAGUGUCGGAGAGGCAGGCGGAAUUCCUAGUGUAGCGGUGAAAUGCGUAGAUAUCAGGAGGAACACCGGUGGCGAAGGCGGCCUGCUGGACUGCGACUGACGUUGAGGCCCGAAAGCGUGGGGAGCAAACAGGAUUAGAUACCCCAGUACUA